rnacentral:lncRNA from 1 species
AGAGAAGGGAAUUUGCAUGGAAAUGGAAGGAGACCCUCAUUGUUAUACAAAAUUACAUAUAAGAGGAUCUAUAGGGAUCCCUACUUAUCAGUUACAACAUUUAUUUGCUACUCUAGAAGGUGAUACUGAAUUACAUAGUUCUUCAAACUUUAAACAAACAUUACAAAAAUUAACCUUAAUUGAACAAUGUUUAAAUGAAUGAUAUUUAUCUUAUAUAGAUUUAGAGAAAUACAUACAACUAAUUCUCUUUCAUACUCCUCAUCCCCGUCUGGAGUGCUAAUUCAAAAUGAUCAUAUAAUAGAAUAAUUUUUUUACCUAAUAAGUAUAAUUAAACGAUUAACUACAUAUAUAGAUAAACUGGACUUUUUAAUAAUUAAAGGUAGAUCUAAACUGUUACAAUUGAGUGGUAGAGAGCCAAAUCAAAUUAUUACUCAAAUAACUCAUCAACAAAUUUCUUAUAAUCUAAAAUUAAAUGAAAAUUGGCAAAUUGCUUUAGCCAGUUAUUCUUGAGCUUUAUCUACUCAAUAUCCUAAAUCUAAAAUUUUGAAUUUUUUUGGAAAAUAUUCUGUGAUAUUAGUAAACCCUAUUUCGUGAAUUCCUCUUUCCAGUAUUACUGUUUUUACUGGCGCAAACUAAACUUCAGCAGGAUACUGGACUCCCAUAGCUUCUAAAGUGUAUCCUCAUGAGUUUUCCUCUGUUCAACCUGCUGAAUUAUGGGCUAUUACUUUAGCUUUAUUAGACUUUUCCAAUGUUUCUCUUAAUAUUGUUUCCGACUCUCAGUAUGCAGUUUUGGUGUGCACACAUCUACCUUCAGUUAGUCUUCCUAUCAAUCCAAAAACCAUUAUUGAGAAAAUAUUUGCAUUUACACAAAGAUUAUUAUUACAGAGAACUAUUUCAGUAUGUUUUACUCAUAUUAGGGCACAUUCUACACUGCCAGGACCAUUAACUAAAGGAAAUCAAAAUAUUGAUCAGCUAUUGUUCCCUUUACAAAAGGCACAUCAAGAACAUGCUUUACUUCAUACAAACACAAAAGGACUUUACAGAAAAUACAAAAUAAUCCAAAAGCAAGCACGUGACAUUGUAGCUAACUGAUCAUCAUGUACUCUUUUUUAAUAUCCCUUACUGUCCUCCUGGUGUUAAUCCAAGGGGACUCCAUCCUAAUGCCCUUUGGCAAAUGGAUGUUAUUAUAAUUCAGUCAUUUGGAUGACUAAGAUAUGUACAUCAUACCAUUGAUAGUCAUACUCAUUUUCAACGGGCCACAGUGUUUUCUUCAGAAAAAGCCAAUGCAGUCAUUUCUCAUUUAUUAUCUUUUUUUGCUAUCAUGGGAAUUCCUAAAGAACUUAAAACUGACAAUGUACCUGCAUAUACGUCACAAAAAUUACAUUCGUUUUUACAGAAAUAUGACAUUACACAUACUUUUGGUAUACCAUAUAAUAGUUAGGGUCAAGCUAUUAUAGAAUGGGCAAAUAGUGCAUUACAAGAAUAUAUACAUAAAAUAAAAAGGGGGGAAAUGGCUAUGGCUUAUGCACCUCAAUAUCUACUUCAUAAAACCUUACUGUUUUUGUAAAUGAGCCAAAGCAGAAGCGAUUAGAGAGGUUUCAUGUUUCAGUUGUUUUCACCUUUCCCAACGUUGGAAGACUAUAUACAAAACAAAACAUAAAAUAAAAAUUAUUAGAGUGUUACCAAAAGAAGUUGACAACAAGGUAGAGAAAUGACCUAAAGGAUUCAAAUUAGCAAUACUUGAAGACAAUCCGCAUAAAAUGUCAGAUCCUGUCAAAUCAGGUAACGUCUUACUAAAGGUGUCCAUAAUAGUUUUUUUCCAAAUUCAAUAUUUCUAAAGUUAAACUUUGAUGUCCAAUUAACUGUCUUUUAACAGUUUCCCAUGAAUCACUGGUGUUAUAUGGUACAGGAGUCACACAAAUAUGAGAAGAAUUCCAGUCACACUUCAGAACAUUUCUGGUAGCCAAAAUAGUUACUUGAUCGCCAAGCCAGGAAACAGAAUGUUCUAAAUUUAUCAUAUCUGUAGCCAAUUGAGAGUCUAAAUCUUUUUGUUGUUGCCCUAAUAAACAAGCAUCUUGAUGCCAUGUACUCAUGAAGUCCGCAGUUUGAAUGCCUUGAUGUAAAGUAAUGCCAGCUAUAGCAGCAGUGGCAGUUAACAGAAGUAACCACAAGGAUUGAAGCUAUAACUAUUCCUAUCAAUCAUUGAGAGCGAUGUAAUAAAACUUGAAUAGCAUUGUACAAAUGAGUAACAGACAAAGAAUCAGACCAAGGACGGGUUAAAUUAACAGGCAUCCACAACUCUGUGUGAGCCUUAACAAUAACUAAAGAAUAAUUAUUAGAUUCUACUAAAUUCCAAAUAGUUCUAUUUACAUAUUGAGUAAGAUUACAGUCUUCACAUGAUAUUGUUCCCCAAGUUUCAUUCCAUACCCAGUUUCCAAUCAUUAGAGA